UACGUAGGGUGCGAGCGUUGUCCGGAAUUACUGGGCGUAAAGAGCUCGUAGGUGGUUUGUCGCGUUGUCCGUGAAAACUCACAACUCAAUUGUGGGCGUGCGGGCGAUACGGGCAGACUGGAGUACUGCAGGGGAGACUGGAAUUCCUGGUGUAGCGGUGAAAUGCGCAGAUAUCGGGAGGAACACCGGUGGCGAAGGCGGCUUCCUGGACCGACACUGACGCUGAGGCGCGAAAGCUAGGGGAGCAAACGGG
rnacentral:rRNA from 1 species